rnacentral:lncRNA from 1 species
AAAAAACAAAGAAAUACUGCUUACUACACAGUUGGACUCUCUUAAAAGACUUAUAAAAGAAAAACAGGAUGAAGUUGUCUAUUACGAUCCAUGUGAAAGUCCAGAGGAACUUAGUCAUUGACUGUGGUGGGGCUGCAGGACGAUAAGAAUUUGGAAGUGAAAGAACUCAGAAGGCAGUGCCAGCAGCUGGAGUCUAUUAAACGGGGCAGGAUCUGUGUCAAAAGAGCUUCUCUCCAGAGUAGAAAGGAUCAGUGCAAAGAAAAUCAUUGGCUCAGAUUGCAACAGGCUGAAGAAAGCAUAAGAUAUUCUCGUCAGCAUCACAGUAUUCAGAUGAAAAGAGACAAGAUAAAAAGGAGCAAAAGAAAAAAGAAUGGAUCAACCAAGAAAGUCAAACACUCCAACGAUUGAGAGCAUUUAAAGAUGCAAUUGAAAAGCUGCAGGCCGGUGCUCUUGCAACUGAC